AUUGGUAAAUAAUGACAAUUUUUGCUCUUUUCAAUCUUUAUGCCUUAGUUUACUUUUUUAUCUUAUUGCACUGGCUAAGGCCUCCAGGAUAAAGUUGAAUAAGAACAAUGGGAGCAAAUAUUUUUGCUACCUACCUAAUCUCUGUGUGAUAUUAGUGUCAUAAUAAUAAUAUAUAACAACAUACAACAGAGCAACCAACAAGCUUAACACCUGAGAAAAGAUAGGUGCCUCCCAGAAGUAACAAACAUGAGUACUUGAUUACCUAGGGCACACAUAGCACAGACCAAGAUAUAAUCGCCUUGAAAGUGGAUGAAAAGAAUGCAGCUGAAACAUUUAUCAAAUUAUUGGAGGCCAAAUGUGAACACUAGUGAAGAUCAACUGUGGUUGGAGAAAUGAAGAACAGCAAAACUCUAACCCCGGGACAAGUACAAGAUUACUGAGAAAGCUUCACCCCACAAACUCAGGGGCACUAAGACUGAGGCUGAGCCGUAACGACAGAAUUUUCCCACUGUUAAAGCAAAUAAAUAUGGCCUGAGAAGGAUUUCUAUAUUUGAGUCCUUGUGGACUAACUGCAACCUAGCUUAACAGGUAAACAAGAUUGAAAACCCAAUUUAGGAGUAUGUGCCUGUAAUUAUAGCUGAGUCUUGGCCAAUUGCAGUAUAACAGAAACAAGCAAACUGAAUAUGGCCUGAGAAGGACUUCUAUAUUUGAGUCCUUGUGGACUAACUGCAACCUAGCUUAACAGGAAAACAAGACUGAAAACCCAACUUAAGAGUAUGCGCCUGUAAUUAUAGCUAAGUCUUGGCCAAUCGCAGUGUAACAGAAACUUUGAGAAUUACCUUCUACCAACCCAUCCCCCACGGAGAGGAUGCCUGGAGGAAUUUGAGGAAUGUGGUGCACUGAGAGCAACCACAGUAACAACCAAACUGAAACCCACCUUAGUAGUAGGGGGAUUCAACCUCCCACUAUGCUACUUCUGAUUCCUUUCUGCAUUUCUGUUUUUCCCUUUGGAAUUACCUCCUCCUCCUCGAAGACCAUGUCAGUAUUAAAGUGUAGAUCUGUUUUCAA
ensembl:lncRNA LINC02546 long intergenic non-protein coding RNA 2546